rfam:Schistosoma curassoni strain Dakar, Senegal genome assembly, scaffold: SCTD_scaffold0012713
AUCCAGCUGACGAGUCCCAUGUAAGACGAAACGCGCGUCCUAGAU